rnacentral:rRNA from 1 species
UACGUAGGGUGCAGGCGUUAAUCGGAAUUACUGGGCGUAAAGCGCGCGCAGGCGGUUUAUUAAGUCUGAUGUGAAAGCCCACGGCUCAACCGUGGAGGGCCAUUGGAAACUGGUAGGCUUGAGUGCAGGAGAGGAGAGCGGAAUUCCCGGUGUAGCGGUGAAAUGCGCAGAUAUCGGGAGGAACACCAAUUGCGAAGGCAGCUCGCUGGGACGUUACUGACGCUGAGACGCGAAAGCGUGGGGAGCAAACAGG